rnacentral:rRNA from 1 species
GUGGGGAAUAUUGCACAAUGGGGGAAACCCUGAUGCAGCGACGCCGCGUGAGUGAAGAAGUAUUUCGGUACGUAAAGCUCUAUCAGCAAGGAAGAAAAUGACGGUACUUGACUAAGAAGCCCCGGCUAACUACGUGCCAGCAGCCGCGGUAAUACGUAGGGGGCAAGCGUUAUCCGGAUUUACUGGGUGUAAAGGGAGCGUAGACGGUAUGGUAAGUCAGAUGUGAAAGCCCGGGGCUCAACCCCGCGACUGCAUUUGAAACUAUCAGACUAGAGUGCAGGAGAUGUAAGUGGAAUUCCUAGUGUAGCGGUGAAAUGCGUAGAUAUUAGGAGGAACACCAGUGGCGAAGGCGGCUUACUGGACUGUAACUGACGUUGAGGCUCGAAAGCGUGGGGAGCAAACAGGAUUAGAAACCCUGGUAGUCC